GGGGGGGAAAGGGGGAGGGACGGAGGGGGAGGACCCAGGGGUGUCAUUCCCUGGGGUUGCGGGGCGCUGCUGGCGUCCCAAGUUUGGCUCCGGUGCUGCUGCUGAGGAGGUCGCUUAUUAUUUCUAUUACUCCUCCCCUCUUUUUUCCUCUUUCUUCCUUACUCCUUCGUAUUCCAAACUACCUGCCGAAUUUACCAGCCGAUGUUUUUCAAAGGCUUUGGCCGGCGCUGCGGUCCGCGCGUCCAAAAAAUAUCAGCGUGCUUAACGGGAAACGGGGAGCGCUGCUGAGCGACCAGUCACAGCAGCGACUAUCAGUGCUGGGUCAGUGGCGGAGCUGGCAAGGAGCUUCCCUCGCCCACAGGUCACUGAGCAAAGUUGUUUUGUGUCCAUGCAUCGCAGCUCCCAUCCUGGGACAUAAUAAGGGGAGGAUUUGUAGGCAUUCCUAGGAACGCAACCUCGCCAAGUGUUGAUUCAAAAUGGUGCAUUAUUUUAAAGCACCUUAUUUUACACUUCAGCUUCCAAGAAAAAACACUCUCAGAGCCUUUUUAUUUUUUUUCUUUCCCUCCCCUGCUUUUGUUUAGAAAGAAAACAGCAGAUUUGCUUUUCCGUUUUACCGGGGACACUCGCACGAUGCUGGUUCCACGAGCUGCAUAAUAGCAAACACCGGGGACCGGUACCGCGCACCCGAACCGAGCGCCUGCCGGACCGCAGCUCUACAGCAGCCCCGAGCCGGGGAGAACCGUGCCCACCUGGAGGCAUUAAAAAGCAAACGGAGCUCGGGUGAGGAGGGACAGCCCCGACAGGAAAAUCAGCCCCCCCCCCCCCCCCACCUUUAGCCCCGCGCUUUCUUAAAGUUGUAGCCCAUGAAAUUGUAUCGAAGCCAAGAGUUGUGAUGAGCAAUAAAGGAGGGAAGAGGAGUCUGGUAAUGCGGUUCUGGAUUCAAACGCGGUUUGGGAUGGAAGGAAAGUGAGCAGGAAAGCUGCUGCUGCUGGUGUUUGUGCUUUCAUACAGCGGACUGAAAAACAAACACUUGGAUUUUGCACUGUGACCUCCCUUCAGUGUCCAGGAAGAGAAUGACUUAAGUGUUAACUAAAGCAGGCCUUCACAGAGGAGGAAGAGCAAAAGCUUUCCAACAUGUAUUCUCAGAGAAAUCAGCCAUGCCUGGGUUUAUAAAAGUGAACAGGAGCAGCAGCACCUCAGAUUGCAACAGCCAGUGCACUUGGUUGGCAUUGUGAAAUACAAAAUAACAAAGCCUAAAGCUCCGUGGAAGACACCCUGCAACACCAGCCAUUUUCUGCCUAUCGCUGUGUCAUCUGAGCCAUCCUUAGUUCGUUUGCUCCUUGAUGUUAUUUUUUUCAGUGCCUGUGAAACUAGGAAUGGCACGCAGCAUGCUUGGAAUUUGGCCAGGUUCCUGUUGAGAUAGUAGAAUGGAAAGAAAAUAAAAAAGUACACUGACCCAAUUUAUCCAACUAAAUGUAUUGGGCCAUGACAAUAAAUGCUGUGAACGUGUUUAUCUUUGAAUCAUUUUUCAGGUGAAGCAGCUUAGGACAAUAUAUUAUAAAUGGAGCUGGAGAUCAGGGACUAAAGACUUCUCAUCAGGUGGUUUAUAACU